rnacentral:rRNA from 1 species
UAGUCCACGCCGUAAACGAUGAUCACUCGCUGUAGGCGAUACACAGUCUGUGGCUAAGCGAAAGUUUUAAGUGAUCCACCUGGGGAGUACGAUCGCAAGAUUGAAACUCAAAGGAAUUGACGGGGGCCCGCACAAGCGGAGGAACAUGUGGUUUAAUUCGAUGAUACGCGAGGAACCUUACCUGGACUUAAAUGUAGAUUGCAUAGCUUAGAGAUAGGCUUUUCUUCGGACUAUUUACAAGGUGCUGCAUGGUUGUCGUCAGCUCGUGCCGUGAGGUGUCAGGUUAAGUCCUAUAACGAGCGCAACCCCUGUUGUUAGUUGCCAGCAUGUAAAGAUGGGAACUCUAACAAGACUGCCGGUGCAAACCGCGAGGAAGGUGGGGAUGACGUCAAAUCAUCACGGCCCUUACGUCCUGGGCUACACACGUGCUACAAUGGUAGGGACAGAGAGCAGCCACACUGCGAGGUGGAGCGAAUCUAUAAACCCUAUCUCAGUUCGG